rnacentral:rRNA from 1 species
CCUACGAGCGGCAGCAGUGGGGAAUAUUGGGCAAUGGACGCAAGUCUGACCCAGCAACGCCGCGUGAAGGAAGAAGGCUUUCGGGUUGUCCACUUCUUUUAAUGGGGAAGAGCAGAAGACGGUACCCCUUGAAUAAGCCACGGCUAACUACGUGCCAGCAGCCGCGGUAAUACGUAGGUGGCAAGCGUUGUCCGGAUUUACUGGGUGUAAAGGGCGUGCAGCCGGAGAGACAAGUCAGAUGUGAAAGCCACGGGCUCAACCCGUGAACUGCAUUUGAAACUGGUUCCCUUGAGUGUCGGAGAGGUAAUCGGAAUUCCUUGUGUAGCGGUGAAAUGCGUAGAUAUAAGGAAGAACACCAGUGGCGAAGGCGGAUUACUGGACGAUAACUGACGGUGAGGCGCGAAAGCGUGGGGAGCAAACAGGAUUAGAUACCCCUGUAGUC